rnacentral:lncRNA from 1 species
GCGGCGAAGUGCCCAUGCGGCCGGUCAACUGUCGGUUCGUUUGCCAUCUUCACUGCCUGCCGAAGUCGCCUGCUCAGCUAUUGAGGUGCCAUCAAGCCCUAAAGUGAGUGAAAAGCCGUACACGCGAAAGAAAGCGCCACUGCACACAAAUGCUGUAUUUGAGGACUUCGGAUCUCGCACCGGCAGCCAGCAGUCAACGGCCCGAGUAGCAAGUCAGCACAUCUUCGUAAAGAAACAACUGUUUAUUUCCUAGCAGUGCAAACGUGGUGUUCGCCGGUCGGUACCGCGCAACUGAAUGUGCAGGUGUGAAAGUGCGCGACGGCGCGCGUCGGCCAGCGGGAAGCCGCUCCCUGCUUGGGAGCAAUGUGACACGCGUGUGCCGGCCAGGGUCCCGCACGACGAGCAGGAGGUAGGCGCACACUAUGUACUGUGCUGCCGUUUUCUGGUUUCUGCCACACGUAUAUUCUUGCUUGUAACUGUUCUUUAUUCUAAAGCUUGUGCCUGUAAUGAAUCGUCGUAGGGUUUGACAGUACAAAUAAGUAAAUGUGAUAAUCGAACGACACCUCAUUUAAUGGUGUUGUCUUUCCCAUAUUUGUUACUCUGCUUAACAUGCUGAAAGGAGUUUCUAUUGAUUUUGUAUGUAUUCGCGCUGUCCUAGCUUCAGUCAUGAUAUCUGGAUCUGUCAAUUUUCUUUUUUAUCGGCGAGUAUAUUUGUUGUUAUGAACAUUAUUCAUGUGUGCAUUUUGGACUUAUGUUUAAGCUAGCAAUAAAAUAUUUAUUGUGUUUUGAA